AAGAGUCGAGUUGUUUGGGAAUGCAGCUCUAAUGGUGGUAAAAUCCAUCAAAAGCUAAAUAUCAGCGAGAGACCGAUAGCGAACAAGUACAGUGAUGGAAAGAUGAAAAGCACUUUGAAAAGAGAGUGAAAAAGUACGUGAAAUUGUUGGAAGGGAAGGGAUUAUUGAGCAGCGAGAUGCCAGGUAGUAAAGAGUCAAAAGCUCUUGGGAAUGUGGCUCCCUACGGGGAGUGUUAUAACCCUUGAACCUAACUCUAUCUCUGCCUGAGGCCCG
rnacentral:rRNA from 1 species